rnacentral:rRNA from 1 species
AACGAACGCUGGCGGCAUGCCUAACACAUGCAAGUCGAACGAAGCCUUCGGGCUUAGUGGCGCACGGGUGCGUAACGCGUGGGAAUCUGCCCUUGGGUUCGGAAUAACAGUUAGAAAUGACUGCUAAUACCGGAUGAUGUCUUCGGACCAAAGAUUUAUCGCCCAAGGAUGAGCCCGCGUAGGAUUAGGUAGUUGGUGGGGUAAUGGCCCACCAAGCCGACGAUCCUUAGCUGGUCUGAGAGGAUGAUCAGCCACACUGGGACUGAGACACGGCCCAGACUCCUACGGGAGGCAGCAGUGGGGAAUAUUGAACAAUGGGCGAAAGCCUGAUCCAGCAAUGCCGCGUGAGUGAUGAAGGCCUUAGGGUUGUAAAGCUCCUUUACCAGGGAUGAUAAUGACAGUACCUGGAGAAUAAGCUCCGGCUAACUCCGUGCCAGCCGCCGCCGAAUAC